ACCUCUUGCCUUUGAGCCACAGUGGUUAAUUUCACCUCCCCUUCAUUUGUUUACUUUUCAUUUAGUGAGUUUCUCUAAGCUACAAAAUAGUAUGACGACCUAUAUGGAUGAUCCUGUCUUGUUCAAAGCUGCAGAAGCAGGCAAUAUCGGUCCCUUUGAGAAUUAUCAAACCUGCCUUGAUCAGUUAUCGACUCCAGACGAGAACACCAUUCUUCAUGUCUACUUAGGAAACCAAAGUAGGGAACCGGAAUUCACUGAUUUUGUUGAUAUAAUUCUUGAAAUGUGUCCACCACUAUUAUUGCAGGCCAAUAAGAAAGGUGAAAUCCCACUCCAUUUGGCAGCAAGAUAUGGUCAUUCCAAUGUGGUAAAGGUCCUCAUUCACCGUGCAAAAGCUCUACCUACUGAUCCAGAGAGCGGCGUAACAGAAGCCCGAAAGAUGUUGAGGAUGACCAAUGAAGAGCAAGAUACAGCGUUGCACGAGGCAGCUCGAAAUAGGCGGAGCCAUGUGGUGGAAAUAUUGACUAAAGAGGACCCUGAGUUUUCAUAUUCCGCCAAUGUUCAUGGAGAAACUCCACUUUAUAUUCCUGCAGCUGCUUCCAGAGGGGUUGAAGAACGAGAAAAGGUGAUCGAUGAAAUCCUAACUAAUUGCAGUUCAGUGGACUAUGGCGGCCCUAAUGGUAGAACUGCUCUACACGCGGCAAUCAGGGUGGGAGAUCUUGGUAGGAUUUUGUGCUCAAGUCUGGAGAAUUAAAUAAUUUAUAUAUAAUAGUGUAAACUAUAAUUUAAAAGCCACUUAUAUUUGAUUUUAUAUAUCCGUGUUUGCUUCAUAAUUAGCUUUUUUUUAAAAAAAAAAUUAAACUACUAAAAUUCUUUGUGAGUUUAAGUAUUGGAUAUAUAGAUCUCUGUUGUUCAUGAAGGAAAACUUUUAUUCAUUGUUUUGUUGGUUUCAGAGACAGCAAGAAAAUUGUUAGAAAAAGAAAAAAAGUUGACGAAAACAACCGAUCAGGACGGCUGGUCACCGCUUCACUACGCUGCCUAUUAUGACCGGUCUACUUGUAUAGUGCAUGUAUUACUAGAAAAUGAUGCGUCCGCGGCCUACAUUGCUGAAACAGAGAAGAAGAGAACAGCACUUCACAUUGCUGCUAUUCAAGGACAUGUAAACGCAAUGAAAGAGAUUGUUUCUCGACGUCCAGCUUGUUGUGAGCUUGUUGAUAACAGAGGUUGGAAUGCCCUUCACUAUGCUGUGGCAACGAAAGAUAGAGAAGUAUUCAAGGAAUGUAUGGAGAUUCCUGAACUUGCAAGACUUAAAACGAAGAAGGAUGACAAAGGAAACACGCCCUUCCAUCUAAUUGCAGCUUUAGCGCACGAGAAGAAGCAAUGGAGACGUGUUUUAUAUAAAUAUUGUUAUAAUAAAAGGGUGGUAUGUGGUAAGAGUCCUUAUAAAAGGGAGGUAUGUGGUCUUAAUGAGCAAAAGCUAAGCGUCAACGACAUUUAUGAAGGAAAGUUUGGAGAGAUACAGGUAAUCAAUCCUCUAUGAAUUAACUGUUGUGAGAAUUAAUGCAUCCAUUAACCCCAACCCCCCACCCCCCCCAAAAAAAAAAAAAUAUAUAUAUAUAUAUAUAUAUAUAUAUAUAAUUUCUCGAUUUCUCAAUUUGGGUGCUGAAUAUCUCCUUUUUUAUUUGAAAUCAAGUCAUUUUAUUGAUAUUGUUAAUGAUGAGAUUUGACCAUUGAUGUUGAAAGGGGUUUUUUUUUUUAAUAUAUGACCACCGAUUCUUUUAGUCCGCAUCUUAACCAUAUCCGGGUCCACAUAACUAUUGUAUCUUCUAUUUUUAGUUUUGUUUUAAAAAUGUAUUUUAUUUAAAAAAUUAAAUUAAUUUUUUUUAAUUUUUUUAUAGUUUUAAUAAGUUGGUGUAAAAAAAUAAUAAAAUUUUAAAAAAAUUAUUUUAAUAUAUUUUUUAAAAAAUUACUUUUAAAAAUAAUAUGUACUGCAAUACUAAACAUAAAAAAAAGUCAUUGAAUAAUUUAAUAAUCUUUUUUUAUUUGGAAUGAAGUCAUUUUAUUGAUUUUGUUAAGUUUUUCAUCUACAAUAACAGAUUAUGCAUAUAAAUCGCAUGUAACUGCUUUAAAAAAACAUAUAUUAUUCAAUAAAUAAAUGGAAAGGAGUACAAAUGAACGAAAAAAAUACAAUAAAUUAAAUUUAAAUAAUCUGAAAAUUAAAGUUGAAAAAUCAAAUACAAACUUAACAUAAUCUUACAAGGAGAGUAACAAUAAACAAUAAUAUAUUGGUUUACCCCUCCUAGGAAAUUAAUUUUUUGAAUGAAAUGAUGUAAAAUUAAUGUAUAUAAAACUAAGUCCACAUCUUAGUUUUCUUUUUGGGUAUAAUUGGGCUAAUGUAAAGCAUGCGGUCUAAUUUCAACCAAUUUAGUUUUUUUUACCUCCUAAUAUAUGAUAUUUGUUAAAUACCUAAAAAUGAUGAAUAUCUACGAUAUUUUAACCUAAAUAUUUUGCAGAAAGAAAUCCUAAAAUCCCUUGAAGAUGUUGGCAAUGGACCGCUUGGCAGCCGCAAGGUUUUGAAAGGACAGAAUGAGGGGGAAAAAGAAGCUUUGAGUAGAGCAAGAGAGUCUCAUCUAGUAGUUGCGGCGCUGAUAGCAACGGUAACAUUUGCAGCAGCAUUUACCCUACCUGGUGGUUACAAGAACGACCGAGGCACUGCGAUUCUAGCUAAAAAAGCUGCUUUUAUAGUAUUUGUCAUCUCAGAUGCAAUGUCAAUGGUGCUCUCUAUUUUAGCUGUCUUUAUCCACUUUUUGAUUUCGCUGAUUCAUGGUUUUGAAAUGGUCAAGGAUAAAGUGAUAGAUGAGGAUACCACUGAGAUAUUAUUUGUGGUUGCCACAUUGUUUACAAUGAUUGGCAUGGGGACAAUGAUUAUCGCAUUCGUCACGGGCACAUAUGCGGUUCUAGAACCUUCCUUGGAGCUUGCCAUCAGCACUUGUCUCAUUGGUCUGAGCUUCUUCGUCCUUGGAAAUUUGGUGUUUGCGUUCAUUUACAAGGAUUCACUAGUGAAACAAGCAAUCCUAAAUUUUCUAUCAAAUAAACUCCGAUUUAUUUUUUAAAAUUUUUAUUAUGUUCAGAAAUCAUGUAGUUGGUUGCCAAAUCAGUUCUUAUUUUUUUUAAUUGAUGCGCAUCACAAGUCAAGUGUCAAAAACUUUGACAUUAUUUUUUAUUUAUUUAUUUAUUUUCUUUUUCCUUUUCAUGACAAAAAUUUAGUGACACAAAUUGUAGUUGGGACAACUAAAUUUAUUUUCCAAGUACAAUUUGCUUUGAUGGUUUGUUUAUUAAUCAAGAUUGCACUUGCAAAGUAUUAUACUGUAAGGAAACUACUCUAAAAAGUGGGAUAUGCCAAGUUUUAUUCUUCUUUGGCUCCUUUGCCUCGUAGCUAGCUUGUUCCAUGAGGUGCAUGUAAGGCAGGCAGAAUCUCAUCAACUCCAUUGGAUAACAAGUCAGACCUGACAAACCAGACUGGUCUUGAUAUACAAGAGCGUGUUUCAAAAUUGUAUCUUGUCCAUGAUAGAUGAAAAUAAAGACUGACAUCUUUGCCGAUGAAGGUAACGUUAAACAAAGAACUUAAGAUGAAGGCAAUAUUAAACAAAGAGCUUAAGCAUACAUCAAGCAUAACAAAUCGCAGAGUUUCCUACAAGAAUUUAAAUUUGGCAUGAGGAGAGGCUCUUGGGAAUUGGAAUAGAUUUUCAAACAUGCUUUAGCAAGAACCUCAGCAGCUCCAUUUCCUUCUGACACUUCUUAGGAAGCCAGUCUUUGUCCCUCCCUGCAUACUUUGAUUCCAUGUUGUUCUUAUCGCCAAUAAUGCUGUGUAGUCUGAUAGGCUUCAGCUUGGGUGACAGACUCCGUUAAGUGGCCUUUUGUGAUUCUAAGUAGUUUCCUUUCUUGAAUUGAUGCUUCUUCCGGAACUUUUAAUGUAUCUAAAAAUUCAAUUUGCUACAUUACAUGUAUAUACACAGUAGAAAGAUAGAUGGAUGAAAAGGACAAACUGUGAAACGUUACAAGCACUCACAUAAACAUAGGAGGAAGAUGUGACUUCAAGAGUCAGUGGCUCAAGCUCUGGUGAGCUCCUCAACAAGUGAAACGUCCCUGGAAGCUCCCAUUUUCUUAGCCAAGUUUCUAAUGUCAAACAUUUGCGAAUUGAGAUGGAAGGUUACAUAUUAAUCGUCUCACCCACUGAAAACAUCUUUGCUCAUAGAACAGGAAAGAACAAAGUGACGAAGAAAUAUGAAGACCAUACAUUGAUAUAAUACACAUUUAUGAUUGGAAAGUUGGAAUGCAAACAAUUGUCUUGAGUUUCUCUACAAUGAUUAUGAAUGUGUAGUCUCUGUAAUUAACAACUUAUCAGUAAGAGCAAAUUAAAAUUAACAUACCAUUGAAAAGAUUUAUAGGCACAUUUGAGAUUGUGUCCAGGAUCUGUUCUGUUCCCACAGGUUUGGCCUCCAAAAACUUAAGGCCACGAUAUAGGAGCUGCAACACUUUCCCAAACACUACUGUAUCAAAAUAUGUUUCAGAGAUUAACACUCGAGUAAAUUCAUAGGGAAAUUUAACUGACUUAUUUUCUAAAUGAAAUUCAAGCAGCAACAGUUCUUAAAAAAGAAACACACACACACACACACACACACACACACACACACACACAAUGCAUACUAGGUAUGUGAAGUGUGACUUUUCCACAAAUUAAUAAGCUGAAAGAACUUUGACUUGACUCAGAUCACCGGCACUUCUCAGCAGUUUGUUAAAAGCUUCAUCAUCUACAAGAUUUUCUAGCUUAAGCUGAAAACCAAGCUCUACUCUCUCCAGGCAAGUGCAGGACCUAUCUUCAAUCAUGUAGUCCUCAAAGUCCAAUUCUCCCCAAAGAGACAAUGAGUGUACAUUUGGAGCGCAAAUCUUCAGAUCCUUACUAUUCCACCCAUACUGUUUUAAAUAACCCAAGCACAAACUCUUCACGUUCUUCCCAUUCAGGUUCUCGGAUUUCAUAUCAUUACACUCCAAGAUAACCAACUUCUGCAGCGAAGGACUGUCAGACAAAAUCAUAUUCAAUUUCUCAUCACCGAGAUCAUCACUCUCUCUCCGUGAUAAGCUUAGGGCCAAUUAACGGACCUUAUAUUAUAAAAACAGAAACAUGCCAGUUCCAGAUGACAAAGGUCAUCUUUAUACAUGGUAAAAUGAAGCUCUUCAACCAGCCUUUUAACAGCGAAAUGAAUCCGCGUAUAGAUAGUUGACUCGAACUCAUGUUUGUAUACAAAGAGGGGGGAAACAGCUCAAGACAAUUGUUUUGAUAGUAUAAUAUUUCAAAAUUGAAAAUUAAAAAGAUGAUGUUUGUACAAAUUAAAAAAUCUAAAAAAAUAAAUCACAUAAACAACUGUUAAUGCUAAUUAAAUACUAAAUAGAGAGUUUAUUUUUUUUUUGUGUAAAAAACAAAAAAUAAAUGUAAGUGUAAAUAUUUGAACUAAUAAUGUAGUCACUUUUUGAUUUUUUUAUUUAAUUGUGUGGAAAUAAAAAUGAAUAUUUGUAAAAAACAUAAUGAUUUGAAUUCUCAUGAAAAAGAUAUAUAUUUACUAUUUAGUCAAAAUUAUCGUUUCAUAUUAAUUUUUUUUAUUUAAAAAACAUAUCUUUUCUAAUAACAGUAUAGUAAUUUAUUAGAUAAAGAAUAAAGGAAAUUAAAAUAAAAAUUAGAAAAAUUCUAUUGAUUUGAAAUAAAGAGUAGAGAAUUAUGUAUCUCUCUAAUUUAUUACACAAACAUGUCAUUUUUUUAAGAAGUAUUGUUUUUCUAAAAUGUUUUUUAAACACAGGUUAUUGUGAGCCAACUUUUAAAUACCAGACUAAAUUUUCAUAGUGCAAAACCAGCCUUUACACAGCUCUUUCUCCAUGACCCGUGGCUCCGAGAGGUUUUUCUAGUACUCGAGUUCUGAAGAAGCAAACCCCAAGCCCCUACCACCUUGGGGUAGUUUUUUUAAAUCAUAAUCAUAUAUAUAUUUUUUAAAAAAAUUACUUUGAAGAUUUUAAUAAAAUAUAAGAAACACAUUAAAUAAAUAGCUAGCGAUAUCCUGAAUGCUGUCAAAUUUUCGCAGCAUCUCAUUACAGAAGUGAGUUUUUAUAGUGUAUAAAUAUAAAUAUACAUUUUGGUGUGCAUGGCUUUAGUGAGUAAAAAGUAGAUGAAACUUGACUAGACAAUAUGAGAGAGGUCAUAAUUAGUUGUUCUGUGAGAGAGGUGAGGCAGAAAUCCUAUUCUGUCAGGAUGGAUUUAUAACUCUAAAACAGUGUUUUUUUUUUUUUUUUACUACAAUUGGGUAUUGUUCUACAUUCACAAAACAUUGUGAAUUUAUUGUUUUUUUUAAUAAUAAUUCAUUUUGAUCCUUAAAAUUUUAUUUUAUAAAAUUUGAUCUUAAUUAAAUGUUAAUUACUUAUAAUUUCUUAGUAAAGAGUAAAAUUAAAAGAAUGAGAACUAAAAUAAAAUAAAAACAUCAAAUAUAGAUGGCGUACUAGAGACUUCAAGCAAAAUACACUUAGGUCCUUAAUCUUUAAAAAUAAUGUCAUUCAUACAAUUCAGGUCUCUUAAAAUUUUAAAAAAUUAAUUUUGAUACACAAGUUUAUUUGUAUUAUUUUUAAGUCUAAGGUUAAAGAGAUGAGAGAGAUAAGUGUUGUCAAAUUCUAAUAAUAAGAGAGAAAGUCAAUGUUCACUCCAUUUUCGACCACCAAAAUGAGUUUUAUUAGUGUCCACAGGUUCCUAGAUAUGAGAGGGGCUUCAUAAUGGUUGUUUAGAGUCUUAAUGUUGCAUAAAAAUUCAGAUUUAAGCCGGAAAAACCAAAACUAACCCGAUUUGAUUUAAAAUUUUCGGGUUUUUUUUUUGUAUUUAGAGUUGAUGAAAUGAUUUUUGGGUGUUAUAAAGGUGUUGGUGAAGUGCUUUGAGGUUGCAAUGACUUAAAAUCGAGUCUUUUUACCAAAAGAAGUAUUGCCUCAAUUUUCCAUCAACAACUAUGGUGCUCAGAAUCUGGGCUCAUAGACGAUACAUCAUUUAUGUAUUUUUGUUUCAAAUAAAAAAAUAGAAUCAAGCUCAAGCACGCAAGGUUGGGCUUGAAUGUCCACCCACGCGGGACAUGAGCUGUUUUCUAGUCUUUUUUAAGGAGUAAAUAUAAAUUUAAGGUAAAUAAUUAUUGAACUAGGCUGAUUUCAUAGCCUGAAAUACAUGUUUGAUGAGUUAAGUCAUAACAUUUUUUUUUUCUUCUAAUCUUGCUUUUUUUAAUUGACAUCUUCUUUGAAUGUCUUUUUUCUUAAAUAAUUUUUAAAUUUAUGAUUGAAUUAAUAACCCUUAUCUGUGAUUUGUUUUCUUAUUUAAUCUUUUUUGGAUGAAAAUGUUUUUAAUGGUGUUGCGUGUAUUUAGUUUUUGGAAAGAAUAUUCUAAUUAAUCUAUAAUGCUUUUUAAACUUUUUCAUAUAGAUGAACUUUAUAUUUUAAAAUAAAAAAUAUUUAUUUCAGAUAAUAUUUCUAAUAUGUGUAGCAUUGCAUAAUAUUUUUGUUUUUUUAUUUUAUUUAAUCAGUUUAAUACGUGUGUCUAUUUUUAUUAUCAUUUAAUUAAACAAAUUCAACAAGCAUAAUCGAGUAAAUAGCUCAUCUUGUGAGAUUAAAUGUAUUGAUUUAUUUUUGUUUCUUGAUUUUUUUCAAUUUUAUUUUUAGUUAUUGUUAAUGAUUUUUUUUCUCGUUUAUUAAUACAUAAAAUUCUCAAUUUAUUUGAUUACAUACAUGCAUGAACGUCUUAAUUUAUAUAUAUUUUUAAUGUAUAAAAACACAUAAAAAAAUUAAUAUAAAUAAUUUUUUUAUAAAAAAAAUACCUGACCCAUGAUAAAACAGAGUCAAGUAGCAAGCUUAUAAUCUAAAGAAGGAUGGGCAAAGCCAAAAAGUUUAGAAAAUUCAGAGCCAAUUUGCAACUUGGUUGAGAAAGACUAAAUUGCAUGCUUUUUUAUUAGAAUAAAUAGCGAAUCCCGACAGAUUCCUCGCUAGCUAAUUAAAAAUGACUCCAAAAAAUCAAUGCAGAUCCCUUUAUAAAUAGGAAUUAUUAAUUAAAGAACUCUUAACUUGCUUGAAAAUGAGUCCAAAUUAUUAAACUGAAUGCUAACUAAGAAACGUUUAUUAUAAUUAAAGACAUUAAACAAUUCACAUCGACUCCUAAAAAUCGAUGCAGAUCCAUCAUAAACAAGACUUAUUAAAUUAAGAUUUCUUAAAUUGCUUGGAAAUGACUUCAAAGCCUACGCUAUCCUUAUAAGAGACUGGUAAUCAUUAUAUUUUUAGUAUUUUACUAUAAGUAUUACUAGUGCGACGCCAUGAAUUAAUUAUUUUAUAUAAAAUAUUAAAAAAAAUUAAAAUUUAAAAGUAUUAGGUUUUUUUACAAAACUAUAUUCAAGACAUAUAAAAAAAUUAUAAUUAUAAAAAUUCAUUAAAAGAAAAAAACACAAAAAAAAACCUAUAAAGUGUAUAAAAACAGAAAAAAAAUGAAAACGAAUAUAUAUAUAUAUAUAUAUAUAUAUAUAGUUAUAAUUAUAAUUAUAAUUAUAAUAAUUAUUAUAUAUAAGUAUAAUUAAAAGGCGUGGGGAAGCUACAGUGCUUUCCCACGCCUUUUAGUAUAUUGUUAAUAAUAAUAAUAUGAUUAUCUCUCUAUAUUUGGAAAUGGAUAAGGAUGAAGUGAUAGAUAAGGAAACCACUGGGAUAUUAUUUAAGGUUGCCAUGUGGCUGACCAUGAUUGGCACGGGGACAAUGAUUAUCGCAUUCGUUACGAGUACAUAUGCAGCUCUGGUACUUUCAUUGGGACUUGCCAUCAGCACUUAUCUCAUUGGUCAAACUUCUUCUUUCUUGUGUACUUAGUGUUUAGGAUCAUUGACAGGGAUUUACGAGAUGAGAUUUAGUAGUGAAAACAUUUUAAAUAAUUGUUUUUGAAAAAAAUUAUGACGUCAUAUGGUCAGCAAUCAUGUGUUUGGUUGCCCAUCAGUUUUCAUUUUUUUUUAUUGUAAUUGAUGCGUAUCACAAGACUUGUGGUAAAAAACUCUGACACUAUUUUUUAUUUAUUUAUUUUUGUUUUUCUAUUCAUGACAAAAAUUUAGUACAGCUAAAUUUAUUUUCCAAGUACAAUUUGCUUUGAUGGUUUGUUUAUUAAUCAAGAUUGUACUUGCAAAGUGUUUGUUUUUUAUUUAAAAAGUGUUAUUAAUUUUUUUUAUAAUUUUAAAUCAUUUUAAUAUACUAAUAUUAAAAUAACUUUUUAAAAAUAAAAAAAAUUAUUUUAAUAUAUUUUAAAAUAAAAAAUAUUUUAAAAAACCACUAAACAAAAUAUUCUGAAAAGUCGGGAUAUGCCAAGUUUCAUUCUCCUAUGGCUGCUGCGCCAGCCAGCUAGCUUGUUCCAUGAAGUGGCUGGAAUAAUCUCAUCGACUUUAUUGGAUAGCAUGUCAGACUUGACCAACCAGAUAAGAAAAAAAGAAAAAAGAAACCAACUAGCUAUGAAUCUGUGGACUUGUGUUUUGAUAGCAUAAAAUGUUUAAAUUGAAAAUUGAAAAGAUACUGUUUGCAUUUUUUUAAAACGAAUUAAAAAUAUUUUAAUUAGUAAAUCACAUAAAGAAUGGUUAAUCUAAUUAAAGGCUAAAACAGUUGGGUAUUUUUUUUAUAUAAAAAAAACAAAAAAAUAAAUGCAGGUGUAAAUAUUUAACCUAGUAACAUGGUUUUUAUUUAUUUAUUUAAUUGUAUAAAAAUAAAAAUAAAAAUAAAAAUAAAUAUUUGUAAUAAAGAUAGGUAUUUAAAUUCUCUGAAAAAAAAUGUAUUUUUAGUUAAAAUUCUCUUUUUAUAUAUAAAAAAAAGUUAAUGCUUGCUAUCAGCACUUCUCUCAUUGUCUGGUUUAAUGUUUUUAAAUAAAAAAACAUUUUUUUUUUUAUAAAAAAACCAACAUCUAAAACUCUCUUUAAAUACCCUUUUAUCCAGGGAGGCAACAAACAAUAGAAAUCAGCAGCUUGUGAUCAGUUGAGUGGAACCUCUUACCUUUGAGCCACAUUGGUUUCUCCUCCCCUUCAUUUGUUUACAUUUCAUUUAGUGAGUUUUUCUAAGCUACAAAAUAGUAUGGAUCCUGUCUUGUUCAAAGCGGCGGAAGCAGGCAAUAUCGGUCCCUUUGAGAAUUAUCAAACCAGCCUCAAUCAGUUAUUGACUGCAGACGAGAACACCAUUCUUCAUGUCUACUUGAAAAACCAAAGCAGUGAACCGGAAUCCACUGAUUUUGUUGAUAAAUUUCUUGAAAGAUGUCCACCACUGUUAUUCCAAGCCAAUAAGAGAGGAGAAACCCCCCUUCAUUUGGCAGCAAGAAAUGGCCAUUCCAAUGUGGUAAAAGUCCUCAUUGACCGUGCAAAAGCUCUACCUGCGGAUCCGGAGAGCGGAGUAACUAAAGCUAAAAUGAUGUUGAGGAUGACCAAUGAAGAGCAAGAUACAGCGUUGCACGAGGCAGCUCGAAAUAGGCGGAGCCAUGUGGUGGAAAUAUUGACUAAAGAGGACCCUGAGUUUUCAUAUCCCGCCAAUGUUCAUGGAGAAACUCCACUUUAUAUUGCUGCUUCCAUUGGCUUUCUAAUGUUUAGCGAAGAACACGGAAAGGUAGUCGAUGGAAUCUUAGGAAAUUGCAUUUCAGUGGACUAUGGCGGCCCUGAUGGUAGAACUGCUCUACACGCGGCAAGCAUGGCGGCAAAUUAUGGUAGGAUUUUGCGCUCAAGUCUGGAGAAUUAAUUAAUUUAUAUAUAAUAUUGUAAACUAUAAUUUAAAAGCCACGUAUAUUUGAUUUUAUAUAUCUCUGUGUUUGCUUCGUAAUUAGCUCUUCUUUUUUCUUUUAAUUUUAAGCCACUUGAAUUCGUGAAAUCACUGUUGUUCAUGAUGGAGAGCUUUUAUUCCUUGUUUUGUUGGUUUCAGAGACAGCAAGAAAAAUGUUAGAAAAAGAAAAAAAGUUGACGAAAACAACCGAUGAGAACGGCUGGUCACCACUUCACUACGCUUCCUAUUGUGACUGGUCUAAUGCUCCUAUAGUGGAAGUAUUACUAGAAUAUGAUGCGUCCGCGGCCUCCAUUGCUGAAACAGAGAAGAGGAGAACAGCACUUCACAUUGCUGCCAUUCAAGGACAUGUAGACGCAAUGAAAGAGAUUGUUUCUCGAUGUCCAGCUUGUUGUGAUCUAGUUGAUAACAGAGGUUGGAAUGCCCUUCACUAUGCUGUGGCAAGUAAAGAUACAAAAGUAUUCAAGGAAUGUCUGAAGAUUCCUGAACUUGCGAGACUUCAAACUGAGAAGGAUGACAAAGGAAACACGCCCUUCCAUCUAAUUGCUGCUUUAGCGCACGAGCAGCCGGAAUGGAGAUAUGUUUUAUUUAACGAUGGUAAUGGUUAUCGUAAAUGGCAGAUAUAUGGUCUUAAUAAGCGAAAGCUAAGCGUCAACGACAUUUAUGAAGAAGAUUUUGGAGAGAUACAGGUAAUCAAUCCUCUAUGAAUUACCUCCCCAAACUGGUUUUCUAUGACCGAUUUCCAUCUAGUUCCUUUGCAUCUCCGAUUCUUUUAGCUCCGCAUCUUAAUCAUAUCCACCACAUGGGUCCAUAUAAAUUUUGUUCAGUUUCACUGUAUUAUUUCCUAUCAUCUUAAAAGUAUUUUCUGUUUCUAGUUUUGUUAUAAAAAUGUAUUUUAUUCAAAAAAAAUUAAAUUAAUAUUUUUUUAUAUUUUUAUAAUUUUGAUGAGCUGAUAUAAAAAGAAAAUAAAAUUUUAAAAAGUAUUUUAAUAUAUUUUUUAAAAAACUUAUAAAAACUAUUUAUAUCAUAAUACCAAACAUAAAAAUGAAGUCAUCGGAAUAACUUAAUAAUCUUCUUUUUAUUUGAAAUCAAGUCAUUUUAUUGAUUUUGUUUAAGUUUUUCAUCUACAGAUUAUGCAUAUGAAUAGCAUGUAACUGCUUAAAAAAAACAUAUAUUAUUCAAUAAAAAAAAAAACAAAAAGUAGUACAAAAGAAUGAAAAAAAAUACAAUUAGUUAAAAUUUUGAAAAUCUGAAAAUUAAAGUUGAAAAAUCUAGUAGAAACUUGACAUAAUCUUACAAGCGAUUAAGAAGAGUAACAAUAAAUAAUAAUAUAUUGGAUUGAUAUAUGAAUAAUUUUAGAAUGAAAUGAGGUAAAAUCAAUGGUAUAUAAAAUAUUUAAGUCCACAUCUUAGUUUUCUUUUUAGGGAUAAUUGGGCUAAUAUAAAGCAUGCGGUUUAAUUUCAACCAAAUUAGUUUUUUUUACCUGCUAAUAUAUACAGUAACAGGAAGGAUUUGAUUACAAACAAACUAGUUGUGGAAACAAAAAUAAAGGCCAGAAAGGUGAUAUAUGAUAUAUUUGUUAAUUAAAUAGCUAAAAAUAAUGGAUGUCUAUGAUAUUUUACCCUAAAUAUUUUGCAGAAAGAGAUCCUAGAAUCCCUUAACGAUGGUGGUAGUGGACCGCUUGGCCGCCGGCGUAAGGUUUUGAGAAGAGGGAGAAACAAAGAGGGAGAGGAUGCUUUGAGUAAAGCAAGAGAGUCUCAUCUAGUAGUUGCGGCGCUGAUAGCAACGGUAACAUUUGCAGCAGCAUUCACCCUACCUGGCGGUUACAAGAGCGACCGAGGCACUGCGAUUCUAGCUAAAAAAGCUGCUUUUAUAGUAUUUGUCGUCUCAGAUGCAAUGUCAAUGGUGCUCUCUAUUUCUGCUGUCUUUAUCCACUUUUUGAUUUCGUUGAUUCAUGCUUUUGAAAUGGAAAAGAAUAAAGAUAUAAGUGAGGAAGCCGCUAUAAAACUAUUUGGGGUUGCCACGUUGUUUACCAUGAUUGGCAUGGGUAUAAUGAUUAUCGCAUUCAUUACGGGCACAUACGCCGUUUUAGAACCUUCCUUGGGGCUUGCCAUCAGCAGUUGUCUCAUUGGCCUGAGCUUCUUCUUCAUUGUGUAUUUAGUGUUUAGGAUCAUUUUCAAGGAUGUAGAAGAUUAGGUUUACUAGUGAAACAAUCAAUUCUAAAUUUUUUAUCAAAUAAAACUCGAUCUGAUGUAUUAUUAUAAAUUCUUAUUGUCAUAUGUUCAGAAAUCAUGUGAUUGGUUGCAAAAAUCAGUUGUCAAAUUUUUUUAUUUAUUUUGUAAUUGAUGCUCAUUACAAGUCAAAUGGUCAAAAACUUUAUCCUAUUUUUUAUUUAUUUAUUUAUUUUCUCUUUCCUAUUCUUGACCAAAAUUUAGUGACAUAAAUAUUAGUUGGGACAGCUAAAUUUAUUUUCCAAGUACAAUUUGCUUUCAUGGUUUGUUGAUCAAUCAAGAUUGCACUUGCAAAGUGUUUGUUUUUGUUUUAAAAAAACAUUAUUAAUUUUUUUUGUUUUUUAUUUUAAAUUAAUUUUUUAUGAUUUUAUAUUAUUUUAAUGUAUUAAUUUUAAAAAUAGAUUUUAAAAAAUAAAAAUAAAUUAUUCUAAUAUAUUUUUAAAUAAAUAAUAAUUUAAAAUGCAAUUAUUAUCACAUGACAACGAAUCUCGCUUUCACCGUAAGAAAACUACUCUAAAAAGUUGGGAUAUGCCAAGUUUCAUUCUUCUAUGGCUGCUGUGCCAGCUAGCUAGCUUAAUCAUAAUAUCCAUCUAGUUCCUUUGUAUCUCCGAUUCUUUUAGCUCCGCAUCUUAAUCAUAUCCAUUAAAUGCGUCCACAUAAUUUUUGUUCAGUUUCUCACUGUAUUAUUUUCUAUUUUCUAUUAUUUUCUAAUGUAAAGCAUGCGGUUUAACUUCAAUCAAAUUAGUUUUUUUUACCUGCUAAUUAUAUAUAAUAUAUACACUAACAAAAAGGACUUGAUUGCAAACAAGCUAGUUAUGGAAACAAAAACAAAGGCCUGGAAAUUGAUAUAUGAUAUUUGUUAAAUAGCUAAAAAUGAUAUAUGAUAUUUUACCCUAAAUAUUUUGUAGAAAGAGAUCCUAGAAUCCCUUGAAGAUGUUGGCAGUGGACCGCUUGGCCGUCGGCACAAGGUUUUGGGAAGAGGGAAUGAGGAGAGAAACAAAGGGGAAGAGGAUGCUAUCAGUAAAGCAAGAGUGUCUCAUUUAGUUGUUGCGGUGCAUUCAUCACGGGCACAUACGAGGUUCUAGAACCUUUCCUGAGGCUUGCCAUCAACACUUAUCUCAUUGGUUUGAGCUUCUUCUUCCUUGUAUCUUUAAUGUUUAUGUUUAUUGGCCAGAAUCUAAAAGAUAAGAUUUAUUAGUGAAACAAUCAGUUCUAAAUUUUCUAUCAAAUAAAAUUCAGAUUUAUUUUUUAAAAAAAUUCUUAUUGUUUUUGAAAAACAAUUGUGACAUUAUAUAGUCAGAAAUCAUGUGGUUGGUCGCCAAAUCAGUGGUCAAUUUUAUUUUUUAUUGUAAUUGAUGCGCAUCACAAGAUUUGUGCCCAAAAACUAUAACACUAUUUUUUUUUUUUUUCAUUUUCCUAUUCGUGACUAAAAUUCAGUGACACAAGUACUAGUUGGGACAGCUAAAUUUAUUUUUGAAGUAUGAUUUGCUUUGAUGGUUUGUUUAUUAAUCAAGGUUGUACUUGUAAAGUAUGUGUUAUUGUAUUUAAAUAGUGUUAUUAAAUUUUUUAAUUUGAAAUUGUUUUAAUAUACUGAUAUUAAAAAUAAUUUUUUAAAAAUAAAAAAAAAUAUUUUAAUAUAUUUUUAAAUAAAAAAAUAUUUUAAAAAACAAAACAAAUUAAUCUGAAAAGUGGAAUAUGCCAAGUUUCAUUCUUCUUUGGCUCCUGUGCCAGCUAGCUAGCUAGUUCCAUGAAAGUGCAUGUAUAUGGUUGGAAUAUUCUCUUCGACCUGACAAACGAGACAUUAAAUAAAUAUACCAACUAGUUACGGGUCACAUUCCAAAACUAAGUUGUAGUGUAAAAAUAAAUAAAAAAGAAGCUAUGAAUCUGUGGAGUUGUGUUUUGACUUUUGACAGCAUAAAAUUUUUGAUUUUUUUAUUUGAAAAUAAUUUUUUAUAUAAAAAAAAUCUGAUCCGUGUGCGCUUGUCAGAUAGCAAUACCAUGGGCAACGCCAAAAAGAUGAAGUUAUUUGCAUUAUGAGUCUAUUUGUGAUUAGCAUGAAUAACUUUCUCCUCUGUAAAAAACCAAAGAAAUCAGCAGCUUGUGAUCAGUUGAGUGGACCCUUUGUGCCACAGUACUUUCUCCUCCCCUUCAUUUGUUUACAUUUCAUUUAGUGAGUUUCUCUAAACUACAAAACGGGUUCUUCUGAGAAAAUGAAACGUAUCAGCUAUAUGGAUCCUGUCUUGUUCAAAGCUGCAGCUGAAGGCGAUAUCGAUCCCUUUGAGAAAUAUCAAACCUGCCUUGAUCAGUUAUUGACUCCAGACGAGAACACCAUUCUUCAUGUCUACUUAGGAAACCAAAGUAGGGAACCGGAACUCACUGAUUUUGUUGUUAUAAUUCUUGAAAUGUGUCCACCACUGUUAUUCCAAGCCAAUAAGAAAGGUGAAAUCCCACUCCAUUUGGCAGCAGCAUAUGGUCAUUCCAAUGUGGUCAAGGUCCUCAUUGACCGUGCCAAAGCUCUACCUACUGAUUCAGAGAGCGGAGUAACAGAAGCAAAAAAGAUGUUGAGGAUGACCAAUGAAGAGCAAGAUACAGCGUUGCACGAGGCAGCUCGACAUAGGCGGAGCCAUGUGGUGGAAAUAUUGACUAAAGAGGACCCUGAGUUUCCAUAUUCCGCCAAUGUUCAUGGAGAAACUCCACUUUAUAUUGCUGCUUCCAUUAUCACGAGGUGGAGGGAAGAACGAGGAAAGGUAGUCGAUGGAAUCCUCGGAAAUUGCAUCUCAGUGGACUAUGGCGGCCCUAAUGGUAGAACUGCUCUAAACGCGGCAAUCAGGGUGCGAGAUGAUGGUAGGAUUUUGUGCUCAUGUCUGGAGAAUUAAAUAAUUUAUAUACAAAAGCCACGUAUAUUUGAUUUUAUAUAUCCGUGUUUGCUUCAUAAUUAGCUUUUUUAAAAAAUAAAAUAAAUUAUACCACUAAAAUUCUUUGUGAGUUUAGUAUUGUUCAUGAAGGAAAACUUUUAUUCCUUGUUUUGUUGGUUUCAGAGACAGCAAGAAAAUUGUUAGAAAAAGAAAAGAAAUUGACGCAAACAACCGAUGAGAACGGCUGGUCACCACUUCACCACGCUGCCUGUUAUGACUGGUCUCCUCGUAUAGUGCAAAUAUUACUAGAAAAUGAUGCGUCUGCGGCCUACAUUGCUGAAACAGAGAAGAGGAGAACAGCACUUCACAUUGCUGCUAUUCAAGGACAUGUAAACGCAAUGAAAGAGAUUGUUUCUCGAUGUCCAGCUUGUUGUGAGCUAGUUGAUAACAGAGGUUGGAAUGCCCUUCACUAUGCUGUGGCAAGUAAAGAUAGAGUAGCAUUCGUCCACUGUCUGAAGAUUCCAGAGCUUGCAAGACUUGGAACGAAGAAGGAUGACAAAGGAAACACCCCCUUCCAUCUAAUUGCUGCUUUAGCGCACCAGCAGAAGCAAUGGCAACGUGUUUUAUUUAACGAUAGUUAUGGUUAUAGUGGAAGGGAGAUAAGAUGUGGUCUUAAUAAGCGACAGCUAAGCGUCGACGACAUUUAUGAAGGAAAUUUUGCAGAGAUACAGGUAAUCAAUCCUCUAUGAAUUAACUGUUGUGAUAAUUAAUGCAUCCAUAUAUAUAUAUAAUCAAUUUCUCGAUUUCUCAAUUUGGGUUCUGAAUAUAAUUAAAUCACAGCAAACUGGUUUUCCUGUGCUUCUCCGGUUCUUUUAGCUCCGCAUCUUUAAUCAGAUCCACCAAAUGGGUCCCCAAAACUUUUGUUCAGUUUCACUGUAUUAUUGCCUGUUGGGAUCAGUUUUGUAUCAUCUUACGAGUAUAUAUCUUCUGUUUUUAAUUUCGUUUCAAAAAUGUAUUUUAUUUAAAAAAAUUAAAUUAAUAUUUUUUAUUUUUUUUAUAAUUUUGAUAAGUUGAUAUAAAAAUAAAAUAAAAUUUUAAAAAAUAUUUUAAUAUAUUUUUAAACAAAAAAAACUUUUAAAAACUAUUUAUACCGUAAUAUUAUACAUAAAAGUGAAGUCAUCGGAAUAACUUAAUAAUCUUUUUUUACUUGGAAUGAAGUCAUUUUAUUGAUUUUGUUAAGUUUUUCAUCUACAAUAACAGAUUAUGCAUAUGAAUAGCAUGUAAUUGCUUAAAAAAACAUAUAUUAUUCAAUAAAAAAAUGAAAAGUAGUACAAAUGAAUGAAAAAAAAUACAACUAGUUAAAAUUUUGAAAAUCUGAAAAUUAAAGUUGAAAAAUCUAAUAAAAACUUAACAUAAUCUUACAAGCGAUUAAGGAGAGUAGCAAUAAACAAUAAUAUAUUGGAUUACAAUAAUCUAGGAAAUUAAUUUUAGAAUGAAAUGAUGUAAAAUCAAUGGUAUAUAAAAUUAAGUCCACAUCUUAGUUUUCUUUUUGGGGAUAAUUGGGCUAUUGUAAAGCAUGCUGUUUAAUUUCAACCAAAUUAGUUUUUUUGUUACCUGCUAAUAUAUACAGUAACAAGAAGGAUUUGAUAGUAAACAAACUAGUUCUGGAAACAAAAACAAUGGCUCGGAAGUUGAUAUAUGAUAUAUGUUAAAUAGCUAAAAAUGAUGAUUAUUUGUUUAAAUUUUUAGAACAAUUAUCUACCAUAUUUUACCCGAAAUAUAUAUUUUUGCAGAAAAAGCUCGUAAAAUCCCUCGAAGAUGUUGGCAGUGGACCGAUUGGUCACGGUCCCUUUGUUAUGAAAGGAGAGGAAGAGAAAAACAAUAAGGAGAGAAACAAAGGGGAAGAGGAAGCUUUGAGUAAAGCAAGAGAGUCUCAUCUAGUUGUUGCGGCGCUGAUAGCAACAGUAACAUUUGCAGCAGCAUUCACCCUCCCUGGAGGUUACAAGAACGACCAAGGUCCAAAUGAAGGCACUGCAAUUCUUGCUAAAAAAGCUGCUUUUAUAGUAUUUGUUAUAUCAGAUGCAAUGUCAAUGGUGCUCUCUCUUUUAGCUGUCUUUAUCCAUUUUAUGAUUUCGCUGAUUCAUGGUUUUAAAAUGGUAAAGGAUGAAGCGAUGGAUGAGAAUACCACUGGGAUAUUAUCUGGGUAUGCCAUGUUGCUGACAAUGAUUGCCAUGGGUACAAUGAUUAUCGCAUUCAUCACGGGCACAUAUGCGGUUCUAGAGCCUUCCUUGGGGCUUGCUAUCAGCACUUGUUUUAUUAGUCUGAGUUUCUUCUUCCUUGUGUAUUUAGUGUGUAAGUUCAUUUACAAGAAUUUAAUAAAUUAGAUUUACCGGUGAAACAAUCAAUUCUAAAUUUUAUAUCAAAUAAAACUCCGAUGUAUAUUUUUUUAAAAUUCUUAUUGUUUUUUUUAAAAAAAAUUAUGAUGUCAUAGGUUCAGAAAUCAUGUGUUUGAUUCCUAAAUCAGUUGUUAAUUUUUUAUAUUUUAUUUUGCAAUUGACACGAUCACAAGUUAAUUAGUCAAAAACUCUAAUAUCAUUUUGUUGAUUUUGUUAGGUUUUUCAUCUACAAUAACAGGUUAUGCAAUGAAUCACAUGUAAUUCAAUAAAAAAACGAAAUUAAUUAAAAUUUAAAAAAUCUAAGAAUUAAAUUUGAAAAAUCAAAUAGAAACUUAUCAUAAUCUUUCAAGCAAUUAAGGAGAGUAACAAUAAACAACAAAUAUUGGAUUAUCCCUCCUAGGAAAUUAAUUUUAGAAUGAAAUGAUGUAGAAUUAAUGGUAUAUAAAGUUAAGUCCACAUCGUAGUUUUCUUUUUGGGGAUAAUUGGGUUAAUGUAAAGCAUGCGGUUUCAUUUCAUCCAAAUUAGUUUUUGUUACCUUCUAAUAUAUACAGUAACAAAAAGGAUUUAAUUGCAAAUAAACUAGUUGCAGAAACAAAAACAAAGACCCAGAAGUUGAUAUAUGAUAUUUGUUAAAUAGCCGAAAAUAAUGGAUAUUUUACCCGAAAUAUUUUGCAGAAAUAGAUCUUAGAAUCCCUUGAAGAUGCUGGCAGUGAACCGCUUGGCAGUCGAGUUUUGAGAAUAGAGAAUGUUGAGAUAAAGAAAGAAUUAGAAUGUCUAAUUGGUUUGGUUUGAGCUUCUUCUUUCCUUAUAUAUUUCGUGUUGAGGUUCAUUUACAAGAAUUUAGGAGAUACGAUUUGGUAGUGAAACAAUUAAUUCUAAAUUUUCUAUCAAAUAAAAUUCAGAUGUCUUUAUUUUUUAAGACAUUCUUAUUGUUUUUGAAAAAAAUUUGUGAUGUCAUAUGGUCAGAAAUCAUGUGGUUGGUUGCUAAAUCAGUUGUCAAUUUAUAUUUUUUAUUUUUUAUUGUAAUUAAGGCGCAUCACAAGUCAAGUGGUAAAAAACUCUAAAACAAUUAUUUAUUUAUUUAUUUAUUUUUCUUAUUUAUGACUAAAAUUUAGUGAUGCAAAUACUAGUUGGUACAACUAAAUUUAUUUUCCAAGUAUAAUUUUCUUCUGAUGGUUUGUUUAUUAAUCAAGAUUGUACUUGCAAAGUGUUUGUUAUUGUGUUUAAAAGGUAUUAUUAGAUUAUGUUUUUAAUUUUAUAUUAAUUUUUUUUAUAAUUUUAGAUUGUUUUAAUAUAUUAAUAUUAAAAAUAAAUUUUUUUUUUAAUUUUUUUUUUAAUAUAUCUUUAAAUAAAAAAUAUUUUUAAAAACACUUUACCACAAUCAUAAUAAAAAUUACUCUCAAAAGUGGGAUAUGCCAAGUUUCAUUCCUCGUUGGCUCCUGUGUCAGCUAGCUAGCUUGUUCCAUGAAGUGCAUGUAUGGUUGGACUAAUCUCAUCGACUCCAAUAUUGGAUGGCAAGUCAGACCUGUGGACAUGUGUUUUGAUAGCAUAAAAAUUUUAAAUUAAAAAUUGAAAUGAUGAUGUUUGUAUUUUAAAAAAAAUUUAAAAAUAUUUGCAUUAAUAAAUCAUAUAAAGAAUAGUUAAUCUAAUUAAAGCCUAAAACAGUUGGGUUGUUUUUUUGUUGUAAAAAAACAAAAAAAUAAAUGCAAGUGUAAAUAUUUAACCUAGUAACAUGGUUGCUUUUUAUUUUUUUUAUUUAAUUGUAUAAAAAUAAAAAUGAAUAUUGUUAAUAAAGAUAGUUAUUUGAAUUCUCUGGAAAAAUAUAUUUUUAGUUAAAAUUCUCUUUUCAUAAUAUAUUUUUUAAUUUGAAAAACAUAUUUUUGUAAUAACAAUAAAGUUUAUUGGAUAAAAAAUAAAGAAAACUACAAUAGAAAUUAGAAAUAUUGUAUUGAUUUAAAAUAAAGAGUGAACAAUGUAUCCAAUCAAAACUCCUUUUUUUUUUAUUAAUGUGUUUCUUUUUUUUAAUUAGGAAAACAUGUUUUUUUUUUUAAGAAAUAUUGUUAUUUUAAAUUAAAAAUUACCAAAAUCAUAUAUAUUUUAGAAUUUCUUACUUUUCUAUCAAAUAAAAUUAAGAUGUAUUUAAAAAAAUUAUAAAAAAAAUAUUUAAAUUAUCUUCGAAAUAUUUUAAAUAAAAUUCUAAUAAAUUUUUUUAUAAAAAAUAUUUAAACUAUUUUUGAAGUAUUAUAAAUAAAAAUCCUAAUUAUUUUUUUUUAAUUUUUUAUAGAUAUUGAAUCUGACAGUAAUGUCAAAUGGCACAAAUCCAAGAGCCUUGUAUCUAAUAGUCAUGCUAAACCCAAAGUAUUUUAGUAUGGCCAAUUCAGAUCUAAAAAACUUGGGUAUGACCAACAUUUUAAUUUGACAAACCAAAAAAAAAAAGAGGAUAAUUGAGCAGUUUAAUUUUCAGGAAAAAAAAAAGUAAAUAACUAGAGAAAUAUAAAAAGAUAAAAUUAAAAAUAAAACUCCUAUAAUUGCAAUACGCUCUUGAUUUACCAUGAUUUCUCUACCGCAUUUAACUUUUAUUAUAAUUGCAAUACGUUCCUUUUUAAGUAUUGUAAUAUUAUAUGAAUUAUCUAAAUGUUUAAAGAUUUUGAUAAAAAAAAAUCCCUGGCCCUUUAGGCCCGAAAGUGAGUGCAGGCAGGCACGCUUUGUUGUAUUCCUGGGAUGUUAUUUUUUUUAAAAUAUAGCUAGAAAAGAUAAAAAUAUUUAAAAAAUAGAACACUUUGAUUUAAUAUUUUAUAACCAUUAAUAGAAAUGAUAGUUGUAAAUAAUCAUUAUUGUUAUUAGCACUUAUAAACAGACGCUAUACAGCUACUAGGCGUGUUAUGUUACUAAUAAAAUCAGUUUUUUUUACUGUCAAAAUAUGGAUGGUCAAAUAUUUUAUAUUUACUUUUUUUUUUGUAACUUUCUCUUUCCUUUCAAAUUAUAAUAACUAUUGAAAUCCUAACAUGAAACCUUAGAAAACAUAUAUAGGGACUAAAACUGGAAAAAAAAACUUUGGGAAUAAACUAUAAUUUUCCAUGCUUCAUAAACAAUAAAAAAGAAAAAAAGGAUUUUUUGUUUGUGUGAAACUUGGUCAGCACUGUAUAUAUUUUUUUGAAUUGAUAAAAUUAAAUUAAGUUUUAUAAAAUUAAUGAUCAAUUUAAUGCCAUGGUAUUUUUCUUAUAUCAUGAAGACAGCACCACAAGCAAACCAAACCCUGUUAAAAUUAUGUGAAGAGAAUGAAAUUAAAAAAAAAAUGAAUAAUUGAUUAAGGAUAAAAAAAUAAAAUUAAAAAACCAAGUCGGAAUUAGAUGCACUGACUGCAUUUAGGAUAAUUGUGCAUCGUAGCUUGAUUUUGUAUCACUGUCACUGCAUAAAUUCCAGCUUUUCUGUUCAAAGAAUUUCAGAUCUUUUGUCCAUGCAUGUAUUUGACGCUAAAAGUUAAUCAAUGGCUACAGGAAAAGCUUUUAUAUGUGUGUGUGUGUGAUGAUCGUCAAUUCAAAAAAAAAAAAAAAAAAACAAUCCAGCAUAGUUCAAUAAAUAAUUGUUGCAUGCAGAUGAUAUAUAUUGAUUGGUAGUGAGUAUUUUGCUUUCGAUGACAUUAUUGGAUUCACUUUUCUCCUUGAAUGCAUUGUUAAUAAACUUGGGCUCAAAUUAACUUAGAUAUAUAAAAAGUUUUUUAAAAACCCAUGAACUAAAAAAAAAAAGUUAGAAAAAAACCUAUGAAAAUUCAGUAAAAUCCCAUAAAAACUCAGAAAAAGCAAAAUAGGUUUUGCCUGUUUUUGUUAAAAAAAAAAACCACACCAAACCAAAACUAGUUGGCUUGAACUGAUUUCUAGUUCAGUUUAAUUGUGAAAUUUUUUUUAAAAAAUAUUUGGUUUAUUUUUUAACCAAAAAUUAAUUUGAUCUCAACCAACCGUCAACUUGUUAUCUUCGUUUAAAGCCACUACUCUAAUAUAGCAUGACCACACAUCAUUUUAAACUUAGUCCUAUCUAAGUACUAGUUUAUAAAAGCAUAUGUUAAGUUAUUCAAAUAGUCUGUAUGUUAUAAAUCCUCAUGUAGAUGAUCAAAAAUUUUAGUUUCCACAAACCUGAGUGUAUCAUUUAGGUAACAUAUAACUAUCUAAAUCGAUAACUAAAACUUGAUUAAUUGCAUUAGAUUUUGGUAUUCAAAAUUUACACUCGUCAGGUUUUGAGUCAGAUAUUGAUAAUGUUUUAGGUUUGAAUUCAAGUAUAGAUAAUACAAAAACCUAACCCGUGAAUACCUAUUAUCAUUCCUUUACAAAGAUUCAAUGACCGAAUGAAAUUGUUGUACGUGUGUGGCGUCGUGAUGGGUCUUCCACUCUCAUAGGUUUGUCUAGGUAAUUAGUGUCGCACCCGACAUCGCGGCGGCCUUAAAAAUAAUGUUUCAUGGAAAGAAAAGAUUUUUGGCAUCUUGUUCUUUUAAGGAAAAAUAUCUUGUUUUUAAGGAGUCACCACCUAGUAUUAUGGUCACUAGGAACCCUAACUGGUCAAUAGAGAUUCUAUGGUUCGGGACUGGUUACGUAAAAGAGAAGAUAUUAUCACCCCUUAAACGUUCUGCCUGAGGCAGACUGCAUUGCUGGUUUUGUCUUAAAUUGCUAAACGUUUAUUAGUUUAGGCUAUGAUAAUUUGCUUAUAAUAUUCCUAACUCUGGCGACAGUGAAUAUUCAACUACGGAUACUUUCAACUCUGGCGUUGGUAAAUAUUACGUAGCUAUAAAAUAAAUUUAUAUCAAUAUUUUUAUUCUUGACUCUAGCAUCAGUGAAUAAACAAAUAAAAUAAAUUUAUUUUUACGCAUGCACAUAUUUUUUAUUUUUCUGGCUAAAUAAAAAUAAAAUACAAUGAAUAAUAUAAAUUUAAACCGGUAUUUUUAUUCAUGACUCUGACCCAAGUGAAUAAACCAAUAAAUUUAUAUUAUUUUUAUUCAUGCAUGCACAUUUUAUUAUUUUUUAUUUUUUUGGGCUGGGCUGGACCCAGCGGCCCGGCCCGGUCACUGGCCCAAGCCAGUGACCCGGCUGGCCCCUUCUUUUUUUUACCCGCAGGCAUGCGUGAACUGCUCACGCACGCCUGCUACAGAAACAUGAUAAUUAAAAUGAAAGGGGAGGGAAACGCAGCUUACCUGUUGCUGUACUUGAAGAUGUGGUGACGGUAAUGGAGGGCCGGCCGGUUAAUGCAACUUUCCACUCCUGCGUUCCUUUUUUCUGGUCUGCUUUCUCUCUGCCUUUUUAUUUCUGGUUUCCUUCUCCUUCUACCUCUCUCCUUCUGUCCCUCUCUAUAUCUACUUAUCUCUCUGUCCUCUGCUUCUUCUUCUUCGUCUUCCGUCCUCUGUCUCUGGUUCUACCACAUUCUCGGUGUCGUCCCCUUUCUUUUGUGAUUCUUUGUUCUGCUGCCUCUGGUUCUGGAGGCUGGUUGCUGAAGACUGUGAAGACGAUGGUUCAUGCCGGUUCUUGUCUCUGCGCUUUCGUCCGCUGGGUUGAGUUUGCGUCUCCUUUGCUCCUGGUUUUUAUAUUCUGUCACCUUCAGUUCUGAGAUGAAGGGACAAAGACGAUGGUGGGGCUGAUCCUCGUCUCUGUGUCGUUCCUCUGCUUUUUCUCUCCUUCUCGGUUUCUUUGUUCUUUUUUCUGUGUUAUUCGUUCUCUGUCCCCCCUGUAUGCUUCCCCUGUUUUUUCUCUGUUCAGCUCUGUGAAUUUUUGUUCUCUGCCGUUCGUGGCUUUUCUUUUUUUCUCUCCCCCGGUGCUCAGUCGUUCUAUGGCUUUUAUAGCCAGAGAAAACAAUGCCGUUUCUUCCAACCAUAAAGUGUGAUAAUUGCAGAAGUAAUGGCUGUGCCUGUGCGGCGGUGGGUGUCCGUUUCGGUCGGGUGAGGAAGAUGAACAGUAACUGGAAACGGUGUCGUUUCGGUAUUCACAGUUAUAUGCAUUGUGGCCCUUGAAGUUUGGAAAGUGUUGUAAUUAAGCCCCUGGUUAAAUUGUAAUCGGACCCCUGCAUUUCGGCUCCUUUUACAAGUUAGUCCUUAGAUUUUAAUUGUUGCAAUUUGGACCCCAAUUAAACUCCAAACUUUGAUAUUUCUUCAAUUAAGUCCCUGAUUUCAUUAAUUUAAUUAAAUCCAAAGUCCAAUUAAGUCUGAAACUUAUCAAUUCUCCAACUAAACCCCUGAUUGGAUGAAUUAAAUUAAUUCCAAGCUUAAUUAAGUCUCAAAACUUAUCAAUUCUCCAAUUAAACCCUUGAUUGGAUGAAUUAAAUUAAUUUCAAGAUCAAUUAAGUCUCAAAACUUAUCAAUUCUCUAAUUAAACCCUUGAUUUGAUUAGUUGAAUUAAUUCCAAAGUUUAAUUAAUCCCCAAAACUUCCAAUCAUGGUGCCCUUAACCCAAUUUUAAUUUAUUCUUCAUUUUUUAUUUGCUUUUCAUCAUCAUUAUUUUUAUUAUCAUUUUUCAGUAAAUAAAAUAAUAGUAAUAAUAAUAAUAUAAAAAUGGUCAAAAAUUGAGUUAUGACAAUUAGGAAAAUGAAAAAGACAAGAAAUUCUUAUCUUUUAUCAGUGGAAAGAGGGAAUAAGAGUUGUCACCUAAUAUUUUGGUCACUAGGAACCCUAACUGGUCUUAGAGAUCGGACAUGGGGACUGGUUGCGUAAAGAAAAAAUAUCAGCAAGAAGAUAUAUGCUAAGGUAUAAUUGUUGUUCCGUUUAUGGUUAAAAAAAAGUCCUUCUCAGUAAGAAGAUCAUUAUUUUAUUGGGUAAAACAUAAUCAUUCUAACAUCAAUAAAAAGAACUAGCUUAUUAAUAUUGGGGAUUCGUUUUACGUACGAGCUCGAAAUCCUUAAUAUUAAAAGAAAACAAAUUGAUUUUUUUGGAAUUUUUGAAAUAUUCACCUAGUUUUCAUGAAUUUAAUAAACUAGUUAUUAAAACUGAAAUGCAUGUUAAAACAUAUUUUUAAAUUUUUGAUGUAUGAAAAUACAAUAUGAUUUUUUUUUGAAAGACUUCGCUGUAUGCAUGAAAACAAGAUAUUUUUUUUGUUGUUUAUAAUUUUUCUCGAUGUUUCGAUGAAAAUCGGGUAUUUUAAUAUCAAAUUUGCAUCUUUAUGGUAUAAAAAUACAAACCAAUAAUAAUCAAAAUAGAUAAAAAAUACACGGGAAAAUAAAAAAAAUUAGAAAGGAUUUUUUUAAAAAAUUGGAUUGGGUUGGGUCGGACUUAUCCAGCUCAGUGAACAGUGGAGUACUCUCUAGUGUUCACGUUAACAAUGAAGAGUGAAUCAAUUCACUUAGUGAAUAGUGAAGGAAACCGACGAAGAUAAAGAGGAGAAUGAGGAAGAAGGAAGAGGGGCGGACUUGCGGUGGCUUUGUGGCGGUGCUGGUGGUUGCUGACCGGAGAGUUGCUUGUUCGGUGGUUGGUUCUUCUUCUUCUCUGCGUAUUUUCCUUAUGUUCUUCUCCUUUUAUUCUAUAGCGGAGGCGGCGGCAGUGACAUUAGAGGCAGACCGUCUACAGGCGGCGGUUGCUGCAAUUUUCUUCUUCUUCCCUGUGCAGAGGGCCCGGCCUCUGUUUUUCCUGUUGGUCGUUCUUCCCUUUUCUGUCUUUUUUGCUUACUCUGUUUUCAGUGUAGUCGUUCUCAGUGGCAGCGGUGUUGGUGGUGGAAUGAAGGUGGUCGCUGCGGUGGCUCUUUUUUUUCUCUCUUCUACUUCUUCCCUCUAUUCCUUCCUAUUUCCCACAAACAAUUCCCCAGCCCUUUCUCAAACUGUCUUUCUAUUUCCUUCUCUCUAUAUUAUUCUCCCAGAACAAUUUUUCUCCCCCCUUUCUCUCAAAUCUCGCCCUGUAUUUAUAGGAAGCUAGGGGAGAGGGUCACCAUACCCUGUCCAAGUGCAGGGCAUGGUGACCGAGGUAUGGGUCAUCUUUCUUUCUUAUUAUGGUGGCAUGGGCAUAUGAGUAUGGGUUUUUUAAGGUUUGUGCAAGUGGGGGGAAGAGAGAGAGUAGGAAAAAACAUUCAAAAUCCUUCAUCUUCCCUGUCUCUAUGUUCGUAGGGAAGAAGAAGAUACACAGUGCCGUUCAAAACGACAUUAUGUAAUUUUUUUUAAAGGUGCAUGAAAUGAAUUUGAGGAAUAACAAAAAAAAAGGGUUAUGGAAACUUUUUAUUUAAGAAAAAUAUUUGAAAAGCUUAAAGAAUUUUGAAAAUUAAUUUUGAAAAAACAUAUAUUUUUUCAUAAUAUUAUGGAAAUAAAAAAUUGAAAACUACAAGUCACAAAAAUUCUUAGAAUAUUUAGGAAAUAUAAAAAAACCAUUUGGGUGUUAAUUGGGCAAAACCACACACUCAUUUGUAUGCUAAAAAAUAAAAGCGAGAGAAGUUAUAUCCACACUAGGUUGGAUCCUAGUCAAACUGGGUUAAAAUCCAUCUCAAUCUCAAUUAGACAGGAUGAUUCCUGAUAUCUAUUGAGUGAUGACGUUUUCGUCCCUAAUUUUAUGAGGUUCUUGGCUUACAUAAUAUUAGUCCCUUAUCUCUAAUUGUUUUCCAAAUUUGGUCCCCAACCUAGUUAUAAUUUUCAACCAACUGGUCCAAGAAUUCUCAAUUGGAUAUGUCCAUAAAAAAUUUGCUUAAGAAUUUUUUCAUCUGAGUCCACACCUAUAGAUAACUUCAAAGUAUAAUAUUUGAGGAUGAAAGGAUCAGAUUGAUAAUUCAUAGAUACUUUUUGGACCCAAUUGCUUAAAUAUGUAGGUUAGGGACACAACUGAGAAAAGGGUAAUAGCGAAUAAGUUGAGUGCAAAUAUGAGAAUAUUAUCCCCUUUCUAAAACAUUCCAAGGCAUCUCUUCUUUGGAGAAGAUUUAUUAGAGUUUGUGGAGGAGUACAUCCUAAUCCUAUCAGAAUGAUAUUAAUGUAGAUCAGAAUUUUAAUUUCAAUUGAUGGCGAUUUAGUUUAGUAAAAAGAAAAGAUCAACGGAGCACGGUUUUCUCAACAGACAAAACCAUGCCUAGGGAACAAGUCAGAAUAAAACAAUUUAUAAGUUGCAAAAUGAAUCGGAAAAAAGCAUUUCUUUUGUAUAUUUUAUAGCUUCAUGUGAACAAGGUUUAACAAAACAUAAAGUGAAAAGGAAAUCAGUACAUGUAAAACAAUGUAGCAUAAGUACAUAUAUAGUAAGAAUAAUAUAUACUACGUUGUUCACAUUAUAGAACAACCAUGAGGGUUUUCAUCGCUGAAAACUGCUCCUGUCUGGUGGUUAAAGAUGGAGGAAUGCACAGGAUGAUGAUAAUAACCAUGAUCGUUGCUAUCGUAUCCAUGCUUGUAGUAAUUGUAAGAAGAGGAAGGCUGAGGAGCAUAGUAAGUAAGUGGACCGUUAACUUGGUGUUGGUUGUAGGAAUGGUCAGAAUAGCUAUGAUGCUGUGGAUUGUAAGGUAAUUGCCAGAGCUCAGCCCUUCUUCCUGUCUUACGAACUGUCUUAAGAACCUUCUUUUGGUCAGCCCAUCCUGUGACCGUCACCUUUUGCAACCCCAUAUCUAUAUCUAUGUCAUCUACGCCUGUGCGUGCAUACAUAUAAUAAAUACAAAAGUUUAAGAUAUAGUCCAAGAAAAUAUGUCCAAAGAAAACCUUAAAAAGAGAGGAACAGAGAAAAUAAUUCAUGAAAAAAAAACAGGAUGAUUAAGAUGAAAAUUGUCGCAUGCAUAAAGUUUUUAGUGGAGGUGAUUUCUUACCUUUGACUUUUUCCAGAGCAAUUUUCACCUUGCUCUCGCAUCCAGCACAAUCUAUAUGCACUCUCAUUUCUAUGAUCGACUGAGUAAAAUACAACGAAAAUUUUCAAUACAACUGUGCCAUUCUUUCUUUUCAGUUGUAAUAUGAUACGAGAAAAUUAAUAUUAAUUAAUAGAAGACUCUUACUAAUUAACCUACGGUUAUAUAAUUUCAUCCACAACAUCUAUACACGCUUACCGCCAUUGUAACUUUUGCUGCUGAAGCCUGAAUUUGAUUGUAGAGAAGAACGAUUGAGUUGAAGAGUAUGAUAGUAUGAAUAUGUCAAACAAGGUGCUAUAUGCUCUCUAUAAAUAGAACAUGUAAUUUGAUAAAAUAAUGGGAAUGAUUGGACUUGUAACUUAUUAUAUAAUUUAAUAUUGGACCGACUUUCUUUUCAUAUAAUUACUUUGCAAAUGAGAUGCUGGAUCUUGAAGGAAAGACCUACGAGAAUUAAUUAAUUAUCAAAGAAAAUUAGACUCUACCAUGUUAAAGAGGACGUCGUCAUAGACAAAUUCAUAAUGCAAGGGCGUGCACAUAGGUAAUCAUUCUCCUCUAUGAGCAUUGACUUUGCAGCCUGGUAUUAAUAAAUAUUGACAAAAAUAAAUAAUUACAUAAUAUAGAAGUGCAAAGCAAGUUUACAAUUAAUAUGCUUAAAAGAGUAUGAUUAACUCAUGUCACUUGACCGUUGGAACCGGUGGUGGAAAUUGUAAACUUCACAUGAUAUAUAGCGAUUCCAUCGGAUCCUGUUCUUUUCAUUCUCUCAUGAAGAAGUAAUGAUUUUAUUUUAUUUUAAUUCGAAUUAGUGUUUGAUUGUUAUACCAGUUAAUUAUUAGUAAAAAAAAAACAAUAUAAAUUGCAUCCUGAAAUUUUCUCUAAUUAAAUUUAUUUAAAUUUGUGAGUACUAAAAGGAAUAUAUUUGGUGAAAAUUUACAAGUUAAUAUAUUUUUUUAUUUUAGUUUUCACUGUUUUUCUUAAAAAACCAUGCAUGGUAAUACAAGCGCAUUCAAGUUGUAGAAAAACAUUUAUGAAUUGAAAAAACAAAACCUAAUUACAAAAAAUAAAGAAAUUAGCAUCACACGACAAUUAGCGAAAAGAUCUUCUUAUAUGUGUCUAAAUAUACAAUCUUUCAUGUAUUUCAGUUUUCAUCAAAAACUUUGCACCCAAAAAAAAAAACUCAAAACUAAUUCAUAAAAGGAAGCGAUUUUGGCAUCAGGAUCAGAAUUCUGUGAGGCAGAAAGGCACUUGAAAAUGUUUUCGAAGAUAUAGAUAUUUAUUCUCUUCAAGAUUCUCUCUACUGUUGAUGUACAUGAUUAUUUCCUCCAGGAUAUAGGUAUAUUCUUCAUCAAGAAUUUUAGACGUAUUACAUUUAAGUAUAUCAUCAUAAAAUAAUUCUUCAAAGUAUAUAUAGUUCUUAUAUUCUAAUUUUUUAAAUGCAAAUUAGUUAAUAUGUUCCAGGUUAUUAUAUAUUAUGAUUUUCUGUGUCUUAUUAAUGUACACAAUAAUAAUUUUCAAUGAAAAUAAGUCUCUCCUUCAUAAUGAUGCACUCUCUGAGUUUCCAGAGGGAUAAGGUGUGUAUUCAAUUAUUAGAAUUAUUUUUUAUUCUUCAUUGAAAAAUUAAGCACAAUUCUCGUAUAGAUUGAAAAAAAAUGAUAAAUGGGCAGAUGCUAAAUCCAAUUGGAAUGUGUAAUGACCUGUUAAAAGUUAGGGAAAGUGUAAAAAUAUGUAGCAGAAAACCAAUCUCGAGUUUAAUUGCUUGUACCUACGGUAUAUAUCACAUCAUUCUUCGGAUCAAACUGUCUACAUGUGUGCAUGGAAUCCUAUGAUAUUGAAUUAAUAUAAAUAUAUAAUACUAUUUUAUACUUUUUGUUUGAUUGAUUUAGAUAAUUAUUUAAUAUGAUAUUUAAUACAGGUUUAUCAAAUAAUUAUAAAUUAAAAUCCUAUUAUAUACAAUAAUUCAUGAUAUUCAUUCAAAAUUUAACCAAUUUUCUGGGUUGAAUCGUUUUUUAUAUAAAAAAUAAUAAACAAUGGCCAGAACGUUUUUUAACAUGAACAACGUUUUUUAGCAUCAUGGGAAUAAUUUCUAGGCAUAAUGGGCCUUACAGCAAAAUGGUCUGAACGUGGGCUUUAUAAGUCUAAAGUCAGGAUUAUAGAUCGAGUCAUAAGGUCCAAAACGAAGUUGACUUCUCCUUUUUACUUCAUGUGAUUUCUAAUUCCAUCUAAUCUUUCCUUUCAUAUGGACUUUAACAAAAAAAAAAAAAAAACCAACGUUUUUGACGUUAAUAAUGAUAUAAAAUAGCAUAAUUUGCAAUACCUUCCAUUUAAUUAUUGUAAUAUUAUAUGAAUUAUCUAAAUGUUUAAAGAUUUUGAUAAAAAUUUCCUUUAUAUUUAAUAAAUAUUACAAAAACUCCUUUACGUAUCCCAAGUCGCCGUAGUUUAAACAAUAUAUAUAGUAUAUAAUAUAAAUAUAUAAUAUUAAAAUCAAUUUCUAUCAAAUGUGUUAAUAUUGUGUUGACAAAGCAUUUUUAUUUAAAACAGAAGCUAUCAAGAUUUGAUUCUUAGUUUAAAUAAUUUUUAUAAAAAAAAGUUAAACGGAUCAACUCAAAAAACUAAUUUAAUUUCAAAUUAAACUCUAAUUAAACUCUAAAUCAAUCUGCUUUACUCGAUCAACCCCCUCCCCCCUAAAAAAACAAAAACAAAAAACACAAUGAGACAGGAUUGCAUCAGAAUUAAACUUGGGCUCUAUGGACAAACCUGCAGAGGGGACGAGACAGUUUAUGAAAUAUAUAUUUUUAUUUUUAAAAUUUAUUUUUAAUAUAACACAUCAAAAUAAUAAAAAAAUAUUAAUUUAAAAAUAAAAACAAAAAUUCCACCCUAGAGUCUUCUUUUCCGCGGAUGACGAGGUUUUGAGCAAUGCGAAACACGUUGAACAGGACCGAAACUUGAUUCUCGAAUCAUUUCAAGCACCGAAACCAGUGAAGAAAUGGACCAGACUUGUGUUCUUUGCUCUUAUUUUUAUACAAGAAUAUGGUUGUUUUUUGAAAUUUAUUUUUUAAAAAAUUACUUUUUAAAACUUUUUUAUAUUUAUUUGUUAUCAUAAAAAAUUGAUUAAUGAAAAACACUUUCCAGUUAAAGAAAAAAAAUUUGGUUUGGUUUUUAGGAAAGUAUUUUCCGAAAAAUUUGGAUGGAAAAUACUUUCUGGAAGUUGUGAAAAAUUUAGAAAUGUGAUAUUAUUUGCUGAUUAUAUUAAAUUUGGUCCUCAACCUUUUGAUUGCUAUAUAUAUUUUAUUUUAAAUAUUUAUUUUUCAAUUUCAUCCCUUAAAAUUUAAUUUUUAUAUUAACUUUAAUCCUCAUUUUUAUAAUUUUUAUUUGCUUUUUCCUUAUCAUUUUUUUAUUAAAAUUUUUUAUGUAUUAAAUUUGUCCUCAUUUUUUUGAUUGUUACUUAUUUUAUUUGAAAUAACUUAUGAAGUGUUAAUUAUUAUUAUUUUAAUUUCUUCAUCUUAUAUUUUUUUUAUUUUUUAGAUUUGAUCUUUAUUAUUUUGAUUAUUAUUUAUUUUAUUAGAAAUAAUUUAUGAAAUUUUUUUUUUUAAUUUUAUUUUCAUUCAACUUUUUAAUUUGUAAGAUUUGUUCCUCAUUAUUUUAAUAAACUUGAGAAAAAUAAAAUAUUAAUAAGUUAUUUUUCAGUUUAUUUUUCAUGAUAUAAUCAAAUACUAGAAAGUGUUUUUUAAUUUAUUUUUUAUUAUAAUACCAAACAUAAAAAAAAUUAAUUUACUUUUCUAAAAUUUAAUUUUUAAAAAAAAAGUUUUCAACAAGCAAACAGGCUUAAUUGCGUUCAUACUUUUCACCGUGUGAACAUGUUGACAAAGGCUACGUACGAGACAAGAUAAAAAAUCAAAUCAGUCCAGAAAUUAUUUGCUCAAGGCAAGGGAAGAAAAUUCAAAAGCAGCUGCCAGCCAAGCAAAUGCCAAAUCACUGGUAAAGUUAACCGAUCAGAAAUAUUUGUGGGACCAGGAAAUCUUCGCACGGUCUAAUUCUGGGACCAUACCAUGUGGCAUUCAAGAGUCAAUUUUUAUUUUUUUAUUUUUUUAUUAUCGUCAAAAAUUUUAAAAUAUAGCACAAAGAAUAAAAGUAUUUCAAAAAUAAAAUACUUUGAUUUAACCGUUUCUUAUGAAACGCUAUUUUAUUGUACACCCACAGCCACUAAUAGAAAUAGUAAAAUAACAGCUGUUGCGUCGAGGCUUGUGGCAAGUGUUCUUGGCAAGGGUUUUUUUUUUUUUUUUCCUCCGUCUCCUAGUUUCGAGUCUCAGUAUAUAUGUUUAUCAUUUCUAUGGUGUUUUAUUUGUUUAAAGUGAAUCUAGAAAUUAAUUAUAGUACACCCAGACAUCCCAAAUUAAAAAAAAUAUAAUAAUAAAAAAUAACCGCUAUUGUUAUUAGUGGUUAUAUUAAUAAAUAUAUAUAUUUUUAUAAAAAACUCAAAUUCUACCCAAAGUCUUCGUUUCCGCGGAUGACACGUUAAAAUUGGGCUCCGUGGACAAAAAUGCAGAGGGGACGGAACAGCAGUGGAAGGAAAAAGAAAAGGACAGACUUGUGUUCUUUGUCUGUGAUAUUAUUUUUAUUUAAAAUACUGUUUUAAAAAUAAUUUAAAUUUUUUUAAUUUUUAAUUAUUAUUUUUUUAAUAUUUUAUACUGAUGUUAAAAAUAAUUUUUAAAAAAUAAAAAAAAUAUUAUUGUAAUACUUUUAUAAAUAAAAUACUUAAAAAAUAAUUUAACAUGCAAACCAAGCCCAACUGUCAUGUUAAAAUUAUGUGAAGAGAAUGAAAUUGAAAAUAAUAAUAAUAAUAAAAUGAAUAAUUGAUUAUGGAUAAAAAAAAAAAAAAAAAAAGCAAGUCGGAAUUAGAUGCACUGACUGCAUAUAGGAUAUAAUUGUGCAUAAUUGCUUGCUUUUCUAUCACUGUCACUGCAUAAAUUCCAGCUUUUCUGUUCAAAGAAUUUCAGAUCUUUUGUCCAUGCAUGUAUUUGACGCUAAAAGUUAAUCAAUGGCAACAGGAAAAGCUUAUAUAUAUUUUAUGUAUAUAUAAUUGUUGAAUCCAGCAUUAGUUCAAUAAAUAAUUGUUGAAUCCAGAUGAUAUAUUGAUUGGUAGUUGAAUUAGAGUAUUUUGCUUUUGAUAACUUUAGUGGAUUCACUUUUCUCCUUGCAUGCAUUAAUUAACUUGGGCUCAAAAUAACUAGAUAUAUAAAAAGUUUUUAAAAAGACCCAUAAAACUAAAAAAAAUAAGUUUUUAAAAACCUAUGAAAAGUCAGUAAAAUCCCAUAAAAACUCAAAAAAAGCAAAACAAGUUUUGCCAGUUUUUGUUAAAAAAAAACCAAACUAUCAUAACUUAAAGCUCUUUUAGUGAAAGGUUUCCUUUUUACGAUAUAGAAAAAGAAGGCAGAUAAAUAUAUACUUGAGUGAGUCACAUAUCAACGACAAAACUUGACUGAUCCUGUGCAUGGCCAUGACAUUUUUUCUCUAUGACAAGACCGCUAAAAAGAAAUGGUACGAUAGAAGAAGUGGCCAUGGACAGCGAGGUCAAGGAGAAAUGGCCGGCCAUGGACCCCUAUAAAGUCCGAAUCAAGAUGUGAAAGAAAGGAAAGGUGGAAGAGAGCCCUCUUUCUUUUAGUGGUGAUAUUGGUAUUAGCAAGUUAGCCCACUACUAGCUACCGGUAAAUGUCUUUGCAUUCAAAGUGCGAGAAUACUUGUCUAAAACGAAUACUUUUAGAAAGAUUACAGGCAUAUAUAUGGCUUCCAUACCAUUGGCUUAACACUAACAGCAUAGGUAAUGAAAUUGUGAAAAACAUUUAGAUAAAAAUUGGGUUUUUCAUGGCCGUCCUGGGUUGAUGGUGUGGUUGGGCUUGGCAGGUUCAUGAGCUUUUCUACAAAAUAAAACGCUUGUAAACAAUAGAAAACUCUUUGAUACUAAAAUUAGUAAGUAUAAGAGUGCAGAGUGUGCAGAGUUUUUGUGUGUAGAAUGGAAGAUACUAUUUUAGUCUGUAUUUCCAGGACUUAUCUCUUGUAUAACUUGGCUCUAGCUUUGUGUGGCUUAGAACUGAUAUCUUGCAAGGCUAAAGCUUUCAAUAGCUAAGAGUAGCUUUGGCUUUCUUUUAUAUAUAUAUAUAUAUAUAUAUAUAUAUGGAGAUGUAGUCUUGAACUUAUUUUAUGGAGAAAAAAAAUAUUUUCAUAAAAAAUUAAGUCAUUAGAUGAUGUGUCUUGCUUGCUAUUAGUGGAGAUGUUGGUGGCAAUAUUUUCUUACCAAUUUUGUAAUGUGUUAUGGAGAUUUUUUUUUCUAUUUGUUUAAAUUGCAUCUUAUUCUUCAGGAGAUUUCCAGGAUUUUUUUUUUUUUUUUUAUGGUUAAAGCUAGACAACAAUCUCCUUAUCUUCAGUUCUUCAAGCCACAAUGUCCCUGAUAAUUCAAAACCACGGGAAAGUGAUUCAUGCCAAGUUGGGGGCAGUUUUGUCUAGUAACUAACGGUAAUCAAUACAUUAGGAAUUGAUUUUUUUGCCAUCAAUACAUUUUUACUCCGACUUCAAAUUAGUAACUACACCAAAUUUCGAAAAAUACUCAGUUAUUGUAUAGAUGAUUGAAGAAGAACAAAUAAAAUUCUAUUUCUUUUAAGGACAAAGCAAAAAUUUGUGGUUAAGGAAGGUGGUUGUAGUUGCUUUUCAAAGUGUUUUUUCAUGUCGAAAUACAUCAAAAUGAUAUUUUUUUAUUUUAUAAAAAUUAUUUUUGAGAUCAGUGUAUCAAAACAAUCUAAAAUAUACAAAAAAAUUAAUUUUUCACAAAAAAAAAUUGAAUUUAUUAGAAACACGGGUUGGCCAUACGUGGUUCCAAGCUCAAAGAAUUGAAACACACAAUGCUAUAAAAUUUGAUCCAUAUGUGGUCUGUUGAGGAAAGAAAGGGCUAGAAUAAUUGCAUGAUGAUCUACAAUGAGUGAAAAAAUUGAGGUUCUUAGUGCCAUAUCUUAUUUGAUUUUUAUAUAUUUAUUUAGCCUUUUUUUUCUUUAAAAGUUGGAUGAUCUAUUUCAAUAAAUUCAGAGGCAAUUCAGCCAAGUAUAUUCUUAAAUUCAAAGUGGCAGAAAAACCUGCACCAAAAAUUGAUACUUGCUGUAUUAAAGCAACUUUCAAAGUCUUCUUAACAAGACAAACCCUAUUUAUGACAUUGAUGCAUACCAACCGUUGCUUUAAUUUUUCUUUUCCGCAAAAAACAGUUCCUUUAGUUCUUGCCUUGGAUCCAAGUCUAAAAUUUAAAUGUGGCUGACAACCUUCGUGGAAAGUUCAAUUUUUAAAGUAGCUUGACCUUCUUCGUCUCUUGAACCCAAAAAUACUCUAUUAUGAUUGUCCUAGCAAACAUGCUCUUAAAGCCACAUUAUCCUUGAUAAUUCUAACCAUGGGAAAGAGAUUGCUUUUGCUUUUAUAUAUAUUUUUUAAAAGUAAAUCAAAAUAAUAUUUUUUUUAGUGUUUUUUAAUAAUUUUGAUAUGUUAAUUUUAAAAGUAAAAAAAAUUAAAAAAAAUAUUAUUUUAAUAUAUUUCAAGCAAAAAAUAUUUUUUAAAAAUAACACAUAUUGUAAUAUCAAACAUACACUAAGUCACAUGCAAUUUUGUCUAAUACCUAGUUAAUGUAGCUAACUACCUGAUAGUAACCUGUAGCAGUACAACCAUGAAACGACAAGUCAAAAUUAAAAUAUAUCAUUAGAAUUGAAAAAAUAAAACGCCAAUUAGAACAAAAUGGACUGUGAUUAUAGGAGGGACCACAUGCUGUUAAUAUAUUUAUUAUGAAAUAUAUCCUUGAAUGAGGAAAUUUAUGAGAUAUGCUUGUGAUUACAGAAGGGACCACGGGCGUGGUGUAGCAACAACAACAUGCAGCAGAGAGGCACAGGUAGAGCUUUUAGAUAGGUGAUCUGCACCUAUACUUUCUAGUUAAGUUUCAUGAUUUAAUAUGUUAUUGAUGUGAAAUAUGAAUUAAUGAAUGUUGGAUAUUAUAUGAAAGAAUGAAAGUUUACGUAAUGAUGUUGUUAUUUUGGAUAGUAUCCCGAAUGUAUAUGUGUUUAAGGUGAAAGGUCUUUCACAUGAAUUGCCAAGUGAUAGAAGUAUCGCUGACAUUCAAAAUAUGAGAAGAGUGAUAUGUGGCAUGGACUAAUAUAUAUUUUAGUGUAUGUUAGAAUCUCAGGUAAGGGGAUCACCAUGCAUCGAUGCUUAUGGGGCAUGGACGAGCAUACAUUUAAUGUAUGUUAGGAUCCUUGGAAAGGGGAUCACCAUGUAUAGACUAGCAUAUAUUUAGUGUAUGUUAGGAUCUCGGGUAAGGGGAUUAUCAUGUAUCGGCUAGCAUAUAUUUAGUAUAUGUUAGGAUUUCGGGUAAGAGGAUCAUCAUGCAUUGACUAGCAUACAUUUAGUGUAUGUUAGGAUUCCGGGUAAGAGGAAUAUCAUGCAUCAAUGUCUAUGGGGUGAUGAUGAUACCGGUGAAAUUGGUAUCGACAAUGUGUUAGGCAGAAAUAGUUGUGGUUGAUUUUAUGGAAUCUUGAAUGGAAGUUGAAAAUAAAAGAUGAAACAGUUUUUAGUAGUUGAAUGAGAAAGAGUUCCAUUGAAAACUAAAAGGAAGAAGUGAAUAGAAUAUGAAUACAUGUUUGCCUUUUUAGAUUGUUGGAUUUUUUGGCGUUACUAUAUUUAUUGUGAUAUUCAUGUUUCAAUAAUAUGUAUUUUGUUCAGGAUCAUCGCAUGCACGACAGGAGUAGAUCCUAACUUUUGUUCAUUUUUUGUUAUCUAGUUAUAGGGAGUAUAUCUUUGUAUUUUGUAAUAUUAAAACAUUUAUAUAACUUAAUUUGUAUAAUUAAUGUUUAAAUUUGAAUAGAUGAACUUAACUCUGAAAUUCAUAUAAUCAUGUUCCAAGCAUGCGUGUUUAUCUCAUUUCUUUCUCUAUAAUGGUAAUUGUUGUUCAAUGUUUGCUGUAAAUAUUAUGGUUGUGAUGAUGAUGAUGAUGAUUGAUUUGUGAGAUGUGGGAUAUUAGAAGUGUAAACAGGUUAUUUGUCGAUAACUUGGGAUCUCCUGGUAUAGGGAAGACUCUGUUGAAAUUUCGGUAGAAAUUUUUGUAGAUUUUUAUAUGAAAACUGUAUAAAAAAAAUUACAUUGUUUUUCAUUUGAUAUGUGAUUGGUGUUUUAUAAGGGGAUAUUACAUAUCUGAUUUCAUCAUUCUACAUUAAGUCUCUCUCUCUCUCUUUUUUAAAUUUUGAUACUUUUUAAUAUGUUUUUUUAAAUAUAUGUUUCAAUUAAUAUCCCUCCUCUAUGAUUUUUUAUUUUGCUUAUUCAUUACGCCAUUAAACAGUUUUACCGACGGAUUAAUUCUGUCGGUAUAAGGAACAAAAAUUGUCAGUAAUAAUGUUACCGACGGAAUCUCCGACGGAAUAAUGCCGUCAGAGUCAUGAGCGUCGGUAAUUUCGCAUUCCGUCGCAAUUUCUGUCGGUAAUAAAAAAACAAUUACCGACGGAAAUGCCAACGGUAUUACAGACGGCUAUGCGCGCCAAAAAAAAAAUUUCAACGGUAAUUACUGACGGAUAUUCCAUCGGUGAUUGUGGCAUGGAAUUACCACAUGAAAUAAAAAAGCUCCGUAAAAGAAGGAUACAGCACAGUCAGUCACGUGAACCACAUGAAAUAAAAAAGCUCCGUAAAAGAAGGAUACAGCACAGUCAGUCACGUGAACCACAUGAAAUAAAAAAGCUCCGUAAAAGACCACUUAUAAAAACUAAGUUUUUUGUUUUAUCCAAACACUAUAAUCCGUGUUUGUGAUAAAAAAAUAGAUAUUUUAAAAUAAUUUUAUUGUGAUGAUAUUAAAAAUAAUAUUUUUUAAAAUAAAAAAUAUUAUUUUAAUAUAUUUUUAAAUUAAAAAUAUUAAAAAAAAAAACAAUAUUUGACACUCUCUCAAAUACCCCUUCAUCCAGGGAGGCAACAAACCACAGAAAUCAGCAGCUUGUGAUCAGUUGAGGAGUGGAACCUUCAUUUGUUUACAUUUCAUUUAGUGAGUUUCUCUAAGCUACAAAAUAGAAUGGAUCCUGUCUUGUUCAAAGUUGCAGAAGCAGGCAAUAUCGGUCCCUUCGAGAAUUGUCAAACCUGCCUUGAUCAGUUAUUGACACCAGACGAGAACACCAUUCUUCAUGUCUACUUGAAAAACCAAAGCAGAGAACCGGAAUUCACUGAUUUUGUUGAUACAAUUCUUGUGGCUUGGACAAGUGUAAUAACAGCCCGGCCUUGUCAUAAAGAGUUGCAAGGUCAACAAGAAAGGUGUAGGGUUAUAUUUUUGAUAGUAUGCAUUUGACAUUGAAGGGAUGGUUAAGAAAAAAAUUAUCACUUCAAGUUUUGGCGGGGCUGCCCAAGGUGUCACCCAGGCCCACGCCUCCAAGUGAGGGCACUUGGCGCUUGGAUUGACCUGUCCAUGUGCUGGGGUAGGCCACACGCCACGUGGUGUUGGGGCUGACUUGCCUUUGACCUUGCCCUGGCAUGAGUAAGGCACACACCCUCAUGUGGGGACACGAUCACGACCAACUCCAGGUUGGGCCUGGACCUGUCCGUGCCCAACCACAAGUUGGACUAGGACGCGUCCAUGUCCACCCCCACGUCAGUUUUUUAAUAUUAUUAUGUGUUUAAAAUAUUAUUAUUUUUAUUAUAACUCAAAAUAUUGAUAUAAAAAAUAUUAUUAUUUGUAUUGUAAUCGUCCUUGAAAUUUUUAAUAUAAUUAUUUAUGUUAUAAAUAUUAUUAUUUUUAUUAUAAUUAAUAGUAUGAAUAUUAAAAAUAUUAUCAUUUUUGUUAUAAAAAAUAUUAUUUUUAUUAUAAUUAAUAUUAUUAAUAAAAUAAUUUAAAAAUUUUUAAAAAUAUUAUUAUUAAUAUUAAAAAAUAUUAUUUUUUAUAUUAUAAAUUUCUAUAAUAUUUUUUAUAAAAAUAAAAAGUGAGCAGCUGUAAUGUGAACAUCCUGCUAGUAUACACUAAAUCUCCUACCAUUUGUCUAGUAGCUAGUUAAUGCAACCACCAACCUGAUAGUAAUUUGUACUUGUACAACCCUGAAAUGACAUUUUAAAACACUUUAAAAUUAAAAUAUGUGGUUCCAAUUAAAAAAAUAAAAAAGCCCAAAUACAACAAAAUAGACAAUUUGUGGUAUAAUCUGUGUUUUUGUUCAAAAUGUGAAAAAAAAUUGAAUUUUUUUUUUAUUAUAAGUUAAUUUGUUUUAUAUUUUUAUAUAAUUUUAAUGUGAUAUAUCAAAGCUGCGGAAGAAGGCAAUAUCGAUCCCUUCAAGAAUGAUCAAACCUGCCUCAAUCACUUAUUGACAAAAGUGACGUGGAUACACAUAGACGAGUCCAAGUUCAAUAAUAAUGAUGGAUGGGCCAAACAAUUUAUUUUUUUAUUUUCUUAUUAUUUUGAUAAAACAGAUAUAACUUUUCGGCAGGGCAAAAAAAAAAAGAUAUUGCGACAAAAUAUCAAAAAGGAAAAUAAAUGUAAUUUGUGGUUAUUAACGCUUUUUCUUCCUUUAAAUACCAAAGAAAUCAGCAGCAGCUUGUGAUCAGUUGAGGAGUGGAACCUCUUGCCUUUGAGCCACAGUGGUUAAUUUCACCUCCCCUUCAUUUGUUUACCUUUCAUUUAGUGAGUUUCUCCAAGCUACAAAAUAGUAUGACGACCUAUAUGGAUCCUGUCUUGUACAAAGCCGCAGAAGAAGGCAAUAUCGAUCCCUUUGAGAAUGAUCAAACCUGCCUCAAUCAGUUAUUGACUCCAGACGAG
rnacentral:lncRNA from 1 species